AAUCAACGCUGGCGGCGCGCCUAACACAUGCAAGUCGAACGAGAAAGUCCGCAAGGAUGAGUAAAGUGGCGUACGGGUGAGUAACACGUGGAUAACCUGCCCUUUAGUGGGGAAUACCGCUGGGAAACCGGCGACAAUACCGCAUAAGCUCGAGAGAGGAAAGCGUCUUUGCGAAAGCAGAGGCGCGCUGAAGGAGGGGUCCGCGGCCGAUUAGCUAGUUGGCAGGGUAAAAGCCUACCAAGGCAGUGAUCGGUAGCCGGCCUGAGAGGGCACACGG
rnacentral:rRNA from 1 species